rnacentral:lncRNA from 1 species
AGGGAGAGAGGACAUCAGAAGCUACACAUUUGGGACCUUCUCAGGCUUCACCCUAUGCACCUCUUUUUGCUGAUCCUGAUUUGUAUUAUUUGUGCUAUAAUAACACUGUAAUUAUAUGUAUAGGACUUUCCUGAAUUCUCUGUCACUGUCAGUCUAUUAAAUGAUUGAGCAUGAAGAGAGAGUAGGAACCCCUGAGUAUUUAGCUUGUUGGUCAGAAGUGCUGGUGGCCUUGGAACUCAUAAGCUUGUGGCUAGUUUCUGAGCUAACCCAGGCACAACAGGAAUACAACCUUUUACUACAGAUGUGGGAUUGUUCAUGUCAUCUACUAAUGCAAGGGGAAAAGCGAUGGCUAUCUUCCACUGAAGUAUUCUGGAGGAAGCUGUGGGAAGAAAAUUGGUGGAUUUUAUUAUUGAAAUAAGCAGAUGGAUCUGAGAACGCUGUCUGGGCUUGGUACCAAGAGCUGGUAUUUCACAGCAGCGACCGCCUCACAGACGAGCUGUGGGAAGCAGGAGGGAGACUCUCUCUUAGGGUGCCACUACUAUGGAGACACAGCUGGGCUGAACAAGAUUUGCUUCAAACGACAACAAGAGAGACAGAAAGUAUCUGGUUCAACCGCUGCCCGAGCAGGCAGGCACCAGAAGAGCUAGCAGCCAAUCCGGCCAUGCUCGAAGCCAGCUCUGCAGCUCAGCCAAUCAGUGACAUCAUUGGCACUGUGAAUACAAAUAAGAAAAAGCUGUUUGCCCUCAUGAAGCAAACAGGAGGAAGAACGAUGAUCACCAUACAUACCAGUAAAACAUAUAAGGAGACAGAUGCUGAUAAGUACAAUGGAGAAAAAUGGAGCAAGAAAGAGAGAAAAGGGAUUGGAAUGACGGGCUAUUUCAAACAGCUUUCUUUAGCUUGCCCAUGGUGAUGUGAAGAUGAGAAGAAAUAGCAAGGCCCAACCAGUUCUUCAUCUGGAGACAGUUCAACGUUCUGCAAACCAGGACAGUACUACAGAAGGACUAAGUAUAUAGGAAACUUGACUUAUUUAAAUAAGGCAGUGAAAAAAAUAGAAUAUGGGGAGUAAAACAACCUCUGAAGCUAAGUCUGCAUAUAUAAUAACUGGAUCUUCAGGAAUUUUACUGGGAUAAUUAUCCAAAUAAAUUGCAAGCAUUCUAUCCAAAUGAGCUUACUUCUGAGUUGUAGUUGGAAGAAUUAAAUGUGGGAGAGUAUGUUUUGCCAAACCCAAUCAGAAGGACUGCCUGGACUCUGUACAUGAGCCUGUUGUGACCUGAUUCUCAUGUAUUCUCGACACAAUGCUGAAGGUCCAAAGCCCUGGCACUUCUAGGGAGCAAAUACCUCCAGAGUUGAGUAAACCUGAAUCAGGAACACUUUCUCUGACUGAAUUCUACCUCAACAAUAUGCAUAUUCAAAAAAGAAAAGGUAACAUCCUUGGAAAAUAUGUGCUGGGAACUGCCAUAUUCAAAAUACUUCUAAAAUAAAUGGAGAGUUUUUUUUUUUUUUUAAA